rnacentral:lncRNA from 1 species
CUCUCCACCUCCUCUCCUCUUGCAGAGCACUGCCAACGUGGCACCGGUGCUGAAGGAACGCCAGUCUGUUUUCCCUCUCCACCUCCUCUCCUCUUGCAGAGCGCUGCCAACGUGGCACCGGUGCUGAAGGAACGCCAGUCUGUUUUCCCUCUCCACCUCCUCUCCUCUUGCAGAGCGCUGCCAACGUGGCACCGGUGCUGAAGGAACGCCAGUCUGUUUUCCCUCUCUCUUGUGCAUACCAAAUGGCUCCCUAUUCUCUACAUACAUGUAGUGUACUACUUUUGACCAGAGCCCUAUGGGAAUAGGGUCAAAAAUAGGACCGUAGGGCACAACAAAAAGUUGUGCACUAUGUAGGGAAUAGGGAGCCAUUAGGGAUGUAACUUCUGUGGGUCUGUCUCUCUGUCUACCUUUCUUUGUCUAUUACCUCCUCUCUCUCUUUCCAGUAUUCUCAAGUGCUGCUUCCUCCAGAUCUCCAACUCUCACAUUUAAUUUUUUGAAAGUUUUUCUUUGUUUUGUUGUCUAAAGAUGCUGCUUCUUUCUUUCAUCCUCUGUCAAUAAAACUGAAACGUUGUAAAGCUCCCAGACAGUUUCACAUGAAAUGUAUCGGAUGACAGCAUUGUAUACCCAUAGAAGUGAUGUCAAGCAUACUGGGUGCUAAUAGACUCCCUGUUAGUACAAUUGCACCUGGGUCAUGUUCCCGUUUUAAAAACAUUUUGCAGCAGAAAAUGAAAAUGUAUGGUUUGUUAUUAGAUAAGCCCACUUUGUCCAUGCCUUUUUCCGUCUGUUUUAUUCCAUUGGGUGCCUAUUGAACACAGCCCUGUUUUUUUGUUGUGUGCAAUCACCCUGAGAUUAUUGUGACUCAGUUGUACAAUCAUUAGACAGGCUUAUUGAGGACCCCAAAACUUUAAUUCUUAAAUGCAUUCCUUUUAAUGUGGUUUGUGAAAUAAGCAGGGUACUGAGAGCCAGUCAAAUAUGAAGGAUUGCAAACGUGCACAAUGAGUUAAAUGCUGUGUGGAUUCCUCUGUGUGGGUCAAUUCAAUCCCUAAAUCUUUGCUAAUCAAAUCUGGCACUAGAAGCUAUGCAUCUUUAGAUAACCCCUUUCAUCCCUUAUUGGGAUUUAGGUGGCUUUUUUAUCCCCCAAUGAUCAUUACUUAUGUAAUGAACCACGACUAAAUAUUUUUUGCUAAUUAAGUAACAAUAUGUUUAAUGAUUAGAAAUCACCUUGGACUUGUGAAAUCCCUUAUAAAUCGUAACAUUGCCACAAUCCUUCACAGGCAGAAAGACGGGUGGGGGAAUUUACAAAAUUUUUACACUAUUGUGCUUACCCAAACUAUACUGUCCCAAACCAUACCACUAUGGUGGAUGUGAAACCAGGCUAGUACAGCUCAGCUAAGCUCAGUAGUGUGAAGAGGGUUUGUGAUUGGUGUUCUGAACUGACAAUGAGAGGGACCUGCAGGGGGCGGUGCUGUCAUUUUGGGUUCUAGUGAAGAUAUCACUGAUCUAACACGGUAAGAUUGGUGAAAGCAAUGGAGUGGAAACCAUGUCUUCACCAAUCCACUCACUUACAGAUCAGUGAUUACCUCAAGUAAGGGAGGAAGGUAGGAAGGAUGCAUUUUGUAGAUAUCUGAACAGGGCCUAGGACUAUUUCAAUGGAUCUGUAGGACAUUAUGUAGGAUGUAUAUACAGUCAAUGCUGCCAACUAACCUCAGCCAGUAGGAUGCAUGUAUUAGUGAUAUAUUGUAACUAAUACAUCUCCCAGCAACACAAUAUUAAGGACUAGUUUCCGAGACCUAGAUUAAAGCUGGAAUCCAGUUGAAACUGCCACGGCCGUUUGUGAUAUUACAACAAAGAAGUUACUGCAGACAACGAACCCAUCCCCCCCCCCCCCAUGUGAUAGAACAGCUCCCCAGCUCUGCGUCGUCAACAAAACAAAAACCAGAACAAUGGCUGGGGGGGGCAGACGGCGCUGUUUCCCCUACAGCAAAUUCCACCUUUAAGCCUAGUCCUGGACCAAAGGGCAUGCUAAAAAAAAGUGUUUCUUAGUGAGAAUCUAGGCUUAAUCUGUGUCUGGGAAAUCAGCCCUAAGUGAUCAAUCCUGUCUCCGACUUUUCUUCUACUCCCUCUUGAAACUGUAGUACCAGUUCAUUUCUUCCUUGCGAUGCCUUGUGUUUUCACAAGGUGAAAUAUCUGGGCUGCAGAGAGUAGCUUUCUGUGUUUUUGCUUGAAUCCCUUACCUUGGGUUUUCACGAGGUGAAACGCAUAUGGGUUGCAGAGAGUAGCUUUCGGUGUUUUCCAACGUGUACAUUUUCAUCAACCUUGAUUUAACUGGAAUGUAGCGUGAUCUGAGAGUGACACAUGACAAAUACAUUCUUGGGAGACGCUGCAAAGUGUUACGUAGGCAGCUCAAAGGAGAAAGACUCCUUUCUCAAAGGAGAAAGACAUGGGAACUUAAAACUAGGUUUGCAAAAUGCCAGUAACUUUCCCAAAUUUCCCAGGUUUUCCGGAAAUCCUAGUUGGAGGAUUAUGGAUUUUCUGCUUACUCCCUCUGAAUUUUGGGAAUAUUUCCUCUACUGCUAAAGACAACCAAAAGACCUCGAAAGAAGAAACCGAAUUGGUCCACACUUGGUCUUAUGUGAAAUGGCUACUGAUUGCAUUGUUCAGUUCAACUGAUUGCACUGGCCCUGAAAGCCUACUGCAUUUUGUGCCAAUGAAAGCCAUAUAUAUAUAUUUGUACUGCUGUCCAUGUACAUAGUGUACUUUUGUUACGCCUGAACUCAAUGUAGUUCAAUGGGCAACCAAUCAGCCUGAUGUACUAGUCUAUAACUACCAGUGGUACAGACUAUGUUAAUGGUUCAUUGGCAUUAACGAUUCGGCCUACGAUUUUUCAACUGACUAUCUUCCAUCCCGACACAGUAUGCUACCAAGUCGACGAAACCUGUAUAGCGAGGAUUUUAAUAAUUUGAACUCUAGCUAAUUCUAGAGCUAUUUAGCAUGCUGUUGUAUUUAGUCAAAUAAGGAUGAUCUUGAUCAUUGGCUAGUCUGUAUUUGUACUGUACCUUGAGAAUGCGUGUUUACUUUUGGAUUAGGGACGGGGAAGUGACUCUGGGGGAGAAUAAUCUUAAAUGUUUGUGCCAUCAGCUGAUACUGUUCUUUUGUAUUGAUUCGACAAUAUCAGAAGGCCUUUUUCAAUCGCAGUUGUCACAUACUGUAUAUAUACCCCCAGUAGGAUGCAUUUUGUAUCGUCCCUUUUCAAGAAGCCAAUCUGCAUAGUGCAUUCAUUGCUGUUUGUUUGUGUAGGAGUAGUUUGGUCCCAGGGUAGAAGCAGUAGUACCAUUUUGAAGCUAUGAUGAACUGCCUACUUGAUGAUGCAUUAGAUUUCUCUGGUCUAGAUGGGUCAUAUGAGUGCACUGGGGUGAAACCCUGGCCCUGUUUUAAAUACUUCAGGAAUGAAUAUCUCCUUCCUACCUUCUUUUGAAGUAAUCCCAGAUCAGAAUUGGUGGGAUUGUUGAAAGUGGUAAUCUUGCUUACACCUAUCCAGUCUGACCUGUGCUUAACUGGAGGAAACAAGGAAGGAUGCAUUUCUAAAGAAUUUGAACAGGGCCCUAGCCCCUACUCCAUCGCAGUGGUGGAAAAAGUACACAAAAGUAAAGAUACCUUAAUAGAAAAUGGCUCAAGUGAAAGUCUAAAAGUAUUUGGUUUUAAAUAUACUUAAGUAUCAAAAGUAAAAGUAUAAAUGUUUCCAAAUUCCUUAUAUUAAGCAAACCAGACGGCACAAUUUUUUCUUUAUUUACAGAUAGCCAGGGGCGCACUCCAACACUCCGACAUCAUUUACAAACAAAGCAUUUGUUUAGUGAUUCUACCAGAUCAGAGGCAGUAGAGAUGACCAGGGAUGGUCUCUUGAUAAGUGUGUGAAUUGUACCAUUUUCCUGUCCUGCUAAACAUUCAAAAUCUAACGAGUACUUUCGGGUGUCAAGGAAAAUGUAUGGAGUAAAGAGUACAUUAUUUUAUUUAGGAAUGUAGGGAAGUAAAAGUAAAAGUUGUCAAAUAUAAACUAGUAAAGUACAGAUACCCCCCAAAAAAAAAAAUUCUUCAGUACUUUACACCACCCUUCCAUAGGCACUCCUGUAGAUCUAAAAGAAUCGGAUACGUUUUACAAUAUGGCAAUUGCUUCACUUUGUGGGGGACGCGCAGCCCGGACCACCCCAAGUCCUCUAUUCAUUUGAAUGUGUUGAUAGUUGGAGGAAUAGCUUGAGCCACACUGAGAAUUUGAAAAAGUAUGAAAGUCAACGGUCCAAUAUUCUAGAACACUGCUGUGCGUACAAGCACACGUUUUGGACUCUUAUAGGCGCUUAAGUGCCUAAGGGUUGUGAAGGGCAUCACUGGUAUGUUGAUGCCCUUCACCCACCAGGAAUAAGAGUACAGAAGAGUUAAUUGAGUAUUCAGGCGAACUGCUGUAGAUUUAAGAUUACAGUAAAAGUUAUUGAAGACCUUACACAAACAAGAUGACUUGUGACAUAGCAAUAAGGAAGCAGUGCUGUCCAUGGUUUGCUUUGAAAUCAAGAACUUCCUCAAUGAGAAACAAACAGUGUUCAACAAUCUUGAUCAAUAUGAUGAUAUGUAUGCUGAAAAAUGAGUCCCAGUAUCUAAUAAUAGAAGUACGAAAUGUGUGGUAGUGAUGUAGGUGUAAGUAUUUCUAAAAUUAAUGACUGACGAUCCUGUUAUUUGAUUGUUUAUUUUCCCUAAAUCUGCCAUUUUCUUUCACCCAACAUGAUGCAAUGACACAGACGAACUGGCCAUCUAGCAUUUCGGGGCAAAUGCCAGAUGGGCCAGUCAAUUAUUUUGCCCAGUGGGCCUAUCUAACUUUGGUUUCUUACGCAAAAUGAUCAUCUGGCCAAUAAUGGGGGCCUCGAGGAACAUAAUGGGCCAGUAUGGGGGGCCUCAAGUAAUUAAUUAUUUUUUUUUAAUGUAGAAAUGCCUGGGCUGAUUUGUGGUCCCUUGAUACUGUAAAUGGGCUACAUUUACACCCUCCCACAUUGACUUAUUUUGGGGGGUUGAAUAAUCUGUAUGUAGCUUUUUGUCCUUUGAAUGAGGGGUAGACAAAUGUCAAAACAUGGCAAAAUUAUGCAUAGGCUUCUUUGUACUUUCAAUUGAAUAUUUGACCCUGUCGGUACAAUGACAAGGACAACUUGAGGCCAUUGUACUGCAGGUCAAGCAUUGGAAUGUAUUCUAAUAUAUAUUGAAAUAUGGACCACAACGUUUCUUUCAAAUAUGUUGGACGAAAUAGAGGACAAAUUAAUAGUUUAAUUUCAAGCCAAGGACUAGAUUCUUGAUUCCCUGUCCAACAUGUUUUAUAAACCUAUGCAGUUUCUGGUUUACCAUUCCUAAAACAUUUAUCAUUUGAAAUGGACAAUAUCAGAAGAUUGAGGAUUUUGUAAACAAUAUUUUCUCUUUUUUUGUGCAUAUCAGGAUUGGAUUGAAAUGGGUAUUGUGCCACUUUAUGUUAUCUUUAAAUGUGCAAUAAAUUAUAUUUCAAGAGCGUUUUCAUAUCUCAGUGUGUGUGUCCUUUUUAAUGGACUUUAUUGCAUUUCUGUGAAUGUGCCAGUUUUAGCCAGCUGGCUAAGUCUUGGUAUGUGUAUGUUGAAUGCACUGACUAAGUUGCUCUGGAUAAAUGACCAACAUUAUAAUUUAAAAUGCAAGUUAUUCUGAUUGUUGUAUUAUCCCA